rnacentral:rRNA from 1 species
AAGAGAGAGACAUGCGCGCAUAUCAAUAAGCGGAGGAAAAGAAACUAACAAGGAUUCCCUUAGUAACGGCGAGUGAAGCGGGAAGAGCUCAAAUUUGAAAUCUUCAAGGUUUUACCUUGACGAAUUGUAGUUUAAAGAAGUGUUUUCUGCUGAAGUUUUGGUAAAAGUUCUUUGGAAUAGGACAUCAUAGAGGGUGAGAAUCCCGUAUUUGACCAUUAUUUUCAGCUUUGUGAUACACUUUCAAAGAGUCGGAUUGUUUGGGAAUGCAGUCCAAAAUGGGUGGUAAAUUUCAUCUAAAGCUAAAUAUUGGCGAGAGACCGAUAGCGAACAAGUACCGUGAGGGAAAGAUGAAAAGAACUUUGAAAAGAGAGUUAAACAGUACGUGAAAUUGUCAAAAGGGAAGCGUUUGACACCAGUGUUGUUUUCUCGAAAAUCAAUUAAAAAUGGCUCGAUUUUGUAUUGUUGAGACCCUAAAAGCUCACUGUACAUUUUUCGUGUCUUUUUUAAUGCACUUUUCGUUUAACAAGUCAACGUCAGUUUCUUUUGUUGUAAAAGGGUCAUUGGAAGGUGGCUUUCUUUUCCGGAGAAAGUGUUUAUAGCCUUUGGCCUCUGCAAUCGAAGAGACUGAGGUCUGCAGCGUAGACUCUUCGGGGUUAGAUACAUUUGUGCUAAGUUAUAGCUUUUUAUAGACAACUUGUUGACUAUAAUUAGUCUUGUAGCUUACUCGCUUAUGCUAUUUUACCUACGCUUAGGAUGUUGAAGAUGUAGCACAUCAU